rnacentral:rRNA from 1 species
GAUCCUGGCUCAGGAUGAACGCUGGCGGCGUGCUUAACACAUGCAAGUCGAACGAAGCAUUUAGAACAGAUUAUUUCGGUAUGAAGUUCUUUAUGACUGAGUGGCGGACGGGUGAGUAACACGUAUCCAACCUGCCUCAUACUCGGGGAUAGCCUUUCGAAAGAAAGAUUAAUAUCCGAUAGCAUAUAUUUCCCGCAUGGGUUUUAUAUUAAAGAAAUUCGGUAUGAGAUGGGGAUGCGUU